CGAACGGCAGCAUGAUCUAGCUUGCUAGAUUGAUGGCGAGUGGCGAACGGGUGAGUAAUACAUCGGAACGUGCCCUGUAGUGGGGGAUAACUAGUCGAAAGAUUAGCUAAUACCGCAUACGACCUGAGGGUGAAAGUGGGGGACCGCAAGGCCUCAUGCUAUAGGAGCGGCCGAUGUCUGAUUAGCUAGUUGGUGAGGUAAAGGCUCACCAAGGCGACGAUCAGUAGCUGGUCUGAGAGGACGAUCAGCCACACUGGGACUGAGACACGGCCCAGACUCCUACGGGAGGCAGCAGUGGGGAAUUUUGGACAAUGGGCGAAAGCCUGAUCCAGCAAUGCCGCGUGUGUGAAGAAGGCCUUCGGGUUGUAAAGCACUUUUGUCCGGAAAGAAAUGGCUCUGGUUAAUACCUGGGGUCGAUGACGGUACCGGAAGAAUAAGGACCGGCUAACUACGUGCCAGCAGCCGCGGUAAUACGUAGGGUCCAAGCGUUAAUCGGAAUUACUGGGCGUAAAGCGUGCGCAGGCGGUUGUGCAAGACCGAUGUGAAAUCCCCGAGCUUAACUUGGGAAUUGCAUUGGUGACUGCACGGCUAGAGUGUGUCAGAGGGGGGUAGAAUUCCACGUGUAGCAGUGAAAUGCGUAGAGAUGUGGAGGAAUACCGAUGGCGAAGGCAGCCCCCUGGGAUAACACUGACGCUCAUGCACGAAAGCGUGGGGAGCAAACAGGAUUAGAUACCCUGGUAGUCCACGCCCUAAACGAUGUCAACUAGUUGUUGGGGAUUCAUUUCCUUAGUAACGUAGCUAACGCGUGAAGUUGACCGCCUGGGGAGUACGGUCGCAAGAUUAAAACUCAAAGGAAUUGACGGGGACCCGCACAAGCGGGGAUGAUGGGGAUUAAUUCGAUGCACUCGAAAAACGUUACCAACCUUGACUGGCCCUAACGAACCACAGAUGCAUAAGGGGCUCGAAGAGAAAAUGG
rnacentral:rRNA from 1 species